GUCAUCUACCCCUCCGCUAAAUGCGGGGGCUUGUAGAUAACUACAAGCCGGGUUGAACAGGGUAAGUGAUGGAGCAGUGGUAAUGCAAAGCAGUAACUACAUGAGCGAUAAACAAGAGAAGACCCACUUUGGGAUGCUUUCACAGUCCUGGACUCUGGA
rnacentral:sRNA from 1 species